rnacentral:rRNA from 1 species
AGUGAACGCUGGCGGUAGGCCUAACACAUGCAAGUCGAACGGCAGCACAGGAGAGCUUGCUCUCUGGGUGGCGAGUGGCGGACGGGUGAGGAAUACAUCGGAAUCUACUCUGUCGUGGGGGAUAACGUAGGGAAACUUACGCUAAUACCGCAUACGACCUACGGGUGAAAGCAGGGGACCUUCGGGCCUUGCGCGAUUGAAUGAGCCGAUGUCGGAUUAGCUAGUUGGCGGGGUAAAGGCCCACCAAGGCGACGAUCCGUAGCUGGUCUGAGAGGAUGAUCAGCCACACUGGAACUGAGACGCGGUCCAGACUCCUACGGGAGGCAGCAGUGGGGAAUAUUGGACAAUGGGCGCAAGCCCGAUCCAGCCAUACCGCGUGGGUGAAGAAGGCCUUCGGGUUGUAAAGCCCUUUUGUUGGGAAAGAAAUCCAGCUGGCUAAUACCCGGUUGGGAUGACGGUACCCAAAGAAUAAGCACCGGCUAACUUCGUGCCAGCCGCCGCAGUAA